CACUUUAGUUUCUGAAACGCCGGUCAGCGCAUGCCGGUUAAUGAGAUUCAAAAUCACGUGGUCGCCUGCAGUCCAAUCAGCGGUCGUUGAGACGGAGCGUCUUCAAUUCAUUUUUAUAACUUUCUUGGCGUUAUAAUUGUUUUCAUAAUAUGAUAAUUACAUACUGUUAAAUUUUUAAUGUUUCUCCUCCCGGUAACUGUAUUCCUGUUAUGUCUGGGCUUUCCCUAAUUGCACAAGCCAACGGUUCUACAUAUAACAUGUACAGUAAGACUGAGAGGGGGCGACCUUGGCACAGACCUCUCAUUUGUCUUUCAUCCCAGCUUUUUUGGGGGUGACUGGGUGGGGGGAUAUUGCUCACAGCAAAUUCCUAAAAACUCCUAUUGAUCAUUGUUGCUCCCAUAGAUACAUUUCAGUUUACCAGUCAUGAGGCUCCAAAUUAUACCAGGAGUGGGGUUUGAACCCACGAGAGCAUGCGCUCAUUGGAGCUUAAGUCCAACGCCUUAACCACUCGGCCAUCCUGAUGCAUAUAUAUUGUGCAUGCGUGUUCCUUUAGGAAACAGGAAGAUUGCUAGGAGAAAGAAACGGAUUAAUCUUGUUUGUUAGGAUCAUAGCCAUAAAUGGAGGACUCUUAUAAAGUCCAUGGAUUUUCAUUCACACAUAUUACAUGAGGUAUCUACUCUUUACACACUAAGGAUCCACACUACCAGGGCUACGGCACACAGCUGUUUUAUAAAUCAUCAAAACCAAUACUAUCCUAAGAUUUAUUAUAUACAAAAAUGAUCUGUUCCCAAAUGUUUUCAUGUAAUCCUGAAAACAGAAAAACAAUCUUCUGCACUAUUAACCAUCCACAAAUGGAAACAACAGACAAUACAGGUGAUUUUAGCUAAAAAGCCAAGAAAAAAUUGUGUGGGUUUUUUUUUUUUUUCAAACGAUGUAAUUUACAGCCACAGAGGACAGAAAGCUGCAGUAUGUAGAGAAAGAGAAGAGUUAAACCUAUAAUCAACAUGAGUCCUUGUAGAUGGCAGCCUCCGGUUUUUAAAGACUUCUAUUGGUCUCUAGUGGACAACAGAGGUAACUGCAGGAUUGGAGCCAGAAUAGUGUAACUGCAGUUCAAAACGACAUAUUUUUUUGAUUUCCCAUAGAAAGUGUGUGUCCAGCCACGUGUCAGUCCAAGUGGCAGGAUUUAGUAAUUCUGGUAAUAGUUAAAUGUAAGUCAUUCACAAAUAUUAAGUCGCAACAUUUCAGUCUGACUAACCUUGGAAGAUUACACGAAGACAAUGUCCAGAUAUGCAGACGCACGCAUAUAUCUAGCGUAUAAGAAAAUUCUUUGCACAAACUGUUGAGUCAAAUGCCAUUUGUUUUUCACAGCUUCAGGGGGUGCACCGUUCCUAGAAAUACUGCAAUACCAGGUCGAUGCGUGGAGUGGACGGAGCAAGCCCCUAUUCCAUCUCCCUGCUCCAAAAAUCAAUUUAAUAUAUGGUCCCCGGGUAGGG
ensembl:lncRNA